rnacentral:lncRNA from 10 species
GUUGAAAUCCAGGGUGUCUACAUCCCACAGGAUUAUGGAGGGUGUAUGCAUUGUGCACUUGUCACUUAGAGACGCCUAUGGUCUGAGAAUGUUAAUUUUCCUUCGUGUCGUCGUGGUAGAGACCCAGAGAUGGCAUUUCAAGUUCCAGGAGUUAUGCAUGAACUGGCUUUCUGGAAUUAAAGUGUUCUGAAGACCGUCCAUCAGCUGUCAAGGAACAGGAAUACCCUGAAGGAAGGCCAGACCAGGGGUCUAGAAUAGCCUCCAUCUCCCGUUUGCCAGUUAAGUCCCUUCGUGUCCCAUGCCUGGUUUCUUCAGGUUCAACCUAAUUUCUUUCUGUCCCUGAGGCUUUGCAGUUUUGCUCAUUUUCCUCCCUGAGUUAGGUCUUGUUCUUUGGACAGAAGUAAAACAUAAUAUUUUGUCCUAAGGAAAAAAGUAGUACCACUGGAUUUGAAGGCUUUUGGCUUCCAGCUUUGUAUUUAGAAGCAGAAGACAGUUGGGAAUCUGAAUUAAAUUACACCUCAGUUUAAAAAUCAAAGGAAUAACUGUUUAGGAGCCAAAUGCACUUUGGGUUAAAUCAGUUCAAAGCAUCAGAAAAAUCAUUAGAAAUAUUUGAAGAGGACAGCAGGUGGAUCGGUUUGCAUUUCUUAACCUGUGUUCAUUUGAUGUUUUGCUUCCACAGGGAAGCAUGAGGAAUUUCACUGCCUUCCAGCAAUUAAAUUGCAUUCAAGAAUUCUACAGUAGCCUUGGUGGUCUGCAACGACAUUUCAGGGAUUAGAUGCUCUAUCUCCUGUCUGCAGACACAUGAGCAGAACCCAGGAUGGAAGAAUGUAAUCACCAGCGUGACUCCAGUGAUGGAGAUGAACUAGAUGUGGAGACUGGGGAGCAGCAGAGUCAACUCAGUUAUCAUCUUGGCGGCCGGGCUGCCGUCCAGCUCACAGAAGCCACCUGAUCCGGAAAAGAUUUCCAAAGCCUGCUGGAGCUGUUUCCAUACAGGCAGAGGCCAGUGUCAUCUCCAGCACCUGGGGGACAUAAGAGAAAGAGCCAGUGGCCUCCAAGACAAUCUCAGUGUCUUCCCACUCACAGAACCAGGCAACAAAGAAGUCUGUGGCGUCCACAGGAGGGAAACAAAGCAAAACGAAGCGCCGACCAGUGCGGUACUAUUAAUUCAAAUUAAUGACCCUCACCUACAAAUAAAGCUGGUGCCUGGCAGGUCGCUGGCUCUUGGAGAGCUGCAAUGAGAACAAACGUGGCUUUGCCGUCUGGCCAGGCAAUCGAUGCCUCCUGCCUGUCCCUGGCCGCCCCGCACCCACCUCUUACAGAUGUUACCUGUCUCCUGUUAAUUCUCCCGUGUCACUCUCCACUUCCCCGGUGGGGGUGGGGGGGGGGCGGUCAAGGGUUGACCUGGAGGGUGGGCUUAUUUCAUAAGAAAGGCCGAUUGAAAGGGCCCAGAUGCAAAGUCACACUGCUCUGCUGAGCUGGGAGGACACCCCACUGAGAGACGUGUCUGAAAUGGGUGGAGGUCUCUGGGCAUCACUGGCAGGGGUGGGUGCCUGACUGUCAUUUAGGGACAUUUCUGCCUUGAUCUGUUGCUCUUAUUUAUCUCUGCCAAAAUAAAGAUGUGUUUGAUGAUAAAGACUUCUUUUAUUCAGCCUCUCAGUUAUUCCAGCACGGUAGUUAGAGAUGAAUACAACGUUGCCCUUAAGCUACAACCUGAUCUUCACAAAAACCCUUUGAAGAAG